UACAGAGGGUGCAAGCGUUAAUCGGAAUUACUGGGCGUAAAGCGUGCGUAGACGGUUAUUUAAGUCAGGUGUGAAAGCCCCGGGCUCAACCUGGGAAUUGCAUUUGAGACUGAAUAGCUAGGGUGCGGAAGAGGGAAGCGGAAUUUCCGGUGUAGCGGUGAAAUGCGCAGAUAUCAGGAGGAACACCGGUGGCGAAGGCGGGGUCUCUGGGCCGUAACUGACGCUGGAGGAGCGAAAGCAUGGGGAGCGAACAGG
rnacentral:rRNA from 1 species